rnacentral:rRNA from 1 species
UACGUAGGCGGCAAGCGUUGUCCGGAUUUAUUGGGCGUAAAGAGCGUGUAGGCGGCCAGACAGGUCCGUUGUGAAAACUCGAGGCUCAACCUCGAGAUGUCGAUGGAAACCGUCUGGCUAGAGUCCGGAAGAGGAGUGUGGAAUUCCUGGUGUAGCGGUGAAAUGCGCAGAUAUCAGGAAGAACACCUAUGGCGAAGGCAGCACUCUGGGACGGUACUGACGCUGAGACGCGAAAGCGUGGGGAGCGAACAGG